rnacentral:rRNA from 1 species
UACGGGGGGGGGCAAGCGUUGUUCGGAAUUACUGGGCGUAAAGGGCUCGUAGGCGGCCAACUAAGUCAGACGUGAAAUCCCCAGGCUCAACCUGGGAACUGCGUCUGAUACUGGAUGGCUUGAAUUCGGGAGAGGGAUGCAGAAUUCCAGGUGUAGCGGUGAAAUGCGUAGAUAUCAGGAGGAACACCGGUGGCGAAGGCGGGUCUCUGGGCCGUAACUGACGCUGAGGAGCGAAAGCAUGGGGAGCGAACAGG